AUAAAUAACAAUAAAAACAGGGUGACUUAGGCUUUUGAAGUCUUUAAAGAAACCAUCACUAUGAUCUUUACUACUGCUGCGGAGAAGAGGACAACUCUCCACAUUUCUGGCAUUGAAAAUGACAACACCGCAACUGAAAGAAAGCUUGAAUUUCUGGGAGUAGCAUUAGGAUACGGGACUCCUGCUGAGCUCACCAGUUCCUUGCUCUACACAGCUGCUUUCUCAGCUGGGGUUUUGAAAUAAGCACUGUGAAAAAAGACAGAAAUGACCAUGAUGCAUCUUCUUCACUCUGAGAAAAAGUGCCAAUUUUUAGAAUGGAGGGUGUAGAUCCAUCCUUUGCAACUUGGUGAGGACCUCCUCAGUAAGGCACUGAGCCAGGAGUCUAUACAGCCAUGCCAACAGCCUAGUCCAAAGAUGUUUAGAUCCCAGAAGGGAACUUGCUGGCUUUUCACCUCAGCAUGUGUGGGCCAAACUAAUAUCACAACAAG